rnacentral:misc_RNA from 1 species
UCCGGCUUAACGCCGGCAGUCUCCCUAGAGUGCCCAACUGAAUGGUGGCAACUAAGGACAAGGGUUGCGCUCGUUGCGGGACUUAACCCAACACCUCACGGCACGAGCUGACGACAGCCAUGCAGCACCUGAACCGGCAGUCCCCGAAGGGAAGAUCCUAUUUCUAGGACGGUCAACCGUUGUCUAGCCCAGGUAAGGUUCUUCGCGUUGCCUCGAAUUAAGCCACAUGCUCCGCCGCUUGUGCGGGUCCCCGUCAAUUCCUUUGAGUUUUAGCCUUGCGGCCGUACUCCCCAGGCGGGGUGCUUAAUGCGUUAGCUUCGGCACAGAAGACGUCGAUAGCCUCCCACACCUAGUGCCCAUCGUUUACGGCUAGGACUAC